GACCCUGUAGUUCAACCGGAUAGAACAAUAGCCUCCUAAGCUUUAGAUCUGGGUUCAAGUCCCGGCGGGGUCA
rnacentral:tRNA from 1 species